UUUCAACAUUGAUAAUUGUUGUGUAUUGAGAAUGAUGUUGUGCAUAAUGGUGAUAAAUGCAUGGUGAUUCUUUUGGUGAUAAUGCAUGUUAUUGAGACUCGUGCAUCAUGAUGUACGGGCUUCGAUCCAGUUUUGGUGUGCUAUGGUCUGGUGGUGUGGAUUUAGGAGCGAGUAGCUAAUUCCAAUGAGGAAUUGGUGAAGCGUUGCUAAAUGG
rnacentral:lncRNA from 1 species